rnacentral:rRNA from 1 species
GAUGAACGCUGGCGGCAUGCCUAACACAUGCAAGUCGAUCGGUAAGGCUCUUCGGAGUACACGAGAGGCGGACGGCUGAGUAACGCGUAGGAACACACCCUGCAGUGAGGGAUAAGACACCGAAAGGUGUUCUAAUACCGCAUACGGUCUUCGGAUUAAAGCAUUUAUGCGCUGAAGGAGUGGCCCGCGUCAUAUUAGAUAGUUGGUGAGGUAAUGGCUCACCAAGUCGAUGAUGUGUAGCUGGUCUGAGAGGAUGAUCAGCCAGACUGGAACUGAGACACGGUCCAGACUCCUACGGGAGGCAGCAGUGAGGAAUAUUUCACAAUGAGCGAAAGCUUGAUGGAGCAAUGCCGCGUGCAGGAUGAAGGCCCUCGGGUUGUAAACUGCUUUUAUAAGAGAAGAUUAUGACGGUAACUUAUGAAUAAGGGACGGCUAACUACGUG